UUUUAUGGAGAGUUUGAUCCUGGCUCAGGAUGAACGCUGGCGGCGUGCCUAAUACAUGCAAGUCGAGCGAACAGACGAGGAGCUUGCUCCUCUGACGUUAGCGGCGGACGGGUGAGUAACACGUGGAUAACCUACCUAUAAGACUGGGAUAACUUCGGGAAACCGGAGCUAAUACCGGAUAAUAUAUUGAACCGCAUGGUUCAAUAGUGAAAGACGGUUUU
rnacentral:rRNA from 1 species